GCCAGCAUGGCUUAGUGGUUUGAGCACUGGCCUAUGACUCUGAGGACCAGAGUUCGAUUCCCAGCUCAGCCA